CCACGAUGCAACAGUACGUAUAAAUUUACGUACAGAGUUUCUGAGGGAUAUUAUACUGCACAUGUGUCGGCAGAUGUAGGACAUACUGUACUUAUAUUUUUUGCCAGCAAAAUAUUAUUUCCGUUGAAGAAGAAGAGACAUGGAUGAGACGAAUCAGUUACAGUUUCAGUUUUGUAAUUUGGGAAUUCCUUAUGCGGUCAUCAUCAUCAUUGCAACAUCAAUAGGCCUAUGGUUUCUGCACAGGAAGCUGAGAAGGAAUUCUGCUCCAAAUAGUGUCACGUCCAUAAAAUCCGGAUGGGAAAUGUCGAAAAACCUACAAUUUUCUGAGAUAGGAGUGAACCUCAACGAACGGAGACGACCAGAAAGCACUUGGGGUCAAGAUAAUGGAGAUCUGAAACUACGUCACGAAUUUAGAUCCAUUGAUAUAAGACCAAACGAUUGGGACCGUGCAACAACAACUGUGGAUGCUGUGCUGGAUAUGUUGCUGUGCGAGAUGCAGGAAAUAGCGCGCAAAGAGUACAAAGAUUUGGUCAUUGAAAAAUAUGUAAGACAAGGUAGCAGUCGAGAAGGCCUAAAAGUAAACAAGGCAGAUGAGUUUGACGUUUUGUUGUUGUUUCACAUAAUGGGAAUGCAUUUAGAGAUAAAUCACCUCACUGAUGCAAACGACUUCAUCUUACCAGAGUUUGGCCGACUUGUGGUUGCAGACGACAUUAGAAACCCAUGGCUUUAUAAUGGUUACAUCGUUAAAGAUGAAGUUUUAUGAAGAUAUUGUUUGAAUUCAAGAAACCUUCACGAGAAAUUGUUUAUUUCCAUCAUUCAAAGGGCCGCACGUGAAGUGCAGCAAACAGUGGCUAAAGAAAGCAAAGAUGACGAGUUUUGUCUUACCAUUGAAAAAUUUCGAAAAAAUCCACCUGUGAAUAUUCAAAUCAAGCUUGUGCAUGAGGAUGAAUGUUUUCUUUACGAUAAACACCUGACUUGUAUUAAGUUCAAACACUAUGGUGAACCAAUACAAGUCUUUUCUGAACUACAGUCAGCACGGAUACCUAUAGAGACGUUAAUCAACGUUGAUAUAGUACCAGGGAUUCAGUUACGAACGGAACAGGUACCGGACCCGACAGAUUGGGACGGGAAAAUGGAAUGCCCAAGGUAUGCUGUUUUCAGGUGGGCCGAGCAAAACCAGCAAGCUGCCGCUCAUUAUGAAUGCCCACCGGAAAUCCGUUGGCGAAUAUGUACUUCCGGUUACGAAAAACACGUGGUAGAUGUCACACGCGGUUCGGAAGAACAAAGUUAUAUCGUAACUGCUUUGCGCAUCAUGAAAUCGGAAUUUCAGAGCUUACAGGAUGUUUGGGAGCCACCUCAACUUGUUACAGUUCUACGUUCAUACUAUCUAAAACACAUUGCAUUUUACUGCAUAUUGUAUCUUCAAUAAUAAAUAAGGUCGGCUUACUGGGCGUCCGUCAGGCGCUUGCAUAUUUUCUAGACUUUCUUGAAGUUGUUUUGGAAGAAAAACGACUUCCUCACUUUUUCCAUGCUAACGAAUUUGUAGUAUACAUGUUCCCUACAUAUGAAAUGAGCUGCAAUAGUCUGAGGUAUGACUUAUUUACUGGCAAGGCGAAGGGUUCGUUGGAACAAGCAGAACUGUCUUUUAAAAGGCUCAGACUAAAGCAGACAUUAUGCGAAGACGUGUUCACUUUCCCUGAAUAUGCAGAAAUAUUUAGAAAGUACAUACAAGCUGGAAAAUAUUACACUGGCCCCUGCAGGCCUCAUAAAAUUGUAUAGACCUUGUAACUUUGUAAUAAUUGGCAUUGGUGCUGCACUUUUUAAUGGUUCAUUUGCCGGGAAGUAAAGGCAGAAAGGUUGCAUCCAUUUUAAGUGAACGUAGACAAUAAAAGUUAUACUAGCUGUAGUAGCACCGUAACCCGAGCCUCUAUUUUACAAGAGCACAAAGACUUGCAAAGAAGAGUUGAUGAAGUCAGAACGUUCAUUGUUUUUAUUUUUCAUCAAAUUCUAUGUCAAUUCUACCAUCUUAUACUGUUACGAUGACAACGUCAACUCUUUUGUUUGUUGUAUAUAUACAAAUGUAGUAACAUUAUACAUCAUGUCAAGAAUCUUUGGUUCUCCAGUAAAAAUUAAGAACGGUCCUCGGGAUAAGAUUCCCGAGUUUUGGGGGCUUUAUCUGGGGCAUCAAAACUGAAACCAACAGGAAAUAUUCAGGGACUUAAGCGUCUACUGUUUCAUGCAUUAGUCUUUAAUAAAUGUUUCUUCGCAGGAGUCGUCUUUGUGGGUAAACUUU
rnacentral:misc_RNA from 1 species